AAGACAUGGCAAGCGAAACACGAUCUACAACGCUAUCGAUCAACUCCAAAAUGGAGACCUGUAAAGUGCCCUCGUCAAUUGGAUUCUGUAGGGUGCGGGUACUACGUGCAAAAGUACAUACAUGAGAUAGUGCAUAAUUCUAGUACUUCUAUUACUAACCUUUUCAAUACCAAAAAUGCAUAUAGCCAAGAGGAGAUUGAUGAGAUUCGAACUGAAUGGGCAGCUUUUGUUAGCAGAUUUGUGUAAGUAGUUGCUUUUUGUAGUUAGGUUAGUAGUUGAUUUUUGUAGUUAGGUUAGUAGUUGAUUUUUGUAGUUAGGUUAGUAGUUGGUCGAGUUAAG